rnacentral:misc_RNA from 1 species
AACAUCGCGCACCUGCGGGAACCUGCGGAGGGAUCAUCAUUGAAAUCCAUUCUCUAUAAACCCUUGUGAAUAUGGCUGCCCGGAUGCACGUCCCGUCAAGGGCGUCGUUCGCGGAUAGUCGGAAUCGAUUUUGUUUGGCUUUGGCGGGUCAGUGUAUGUGCGCGGUCCGGUUGUGGCCGUGUACUGCUUCCCGCCGACGUCGGACACCUCGAGAAAACACCAGUAUGAAACAACAGUAAA